rnacentral:rRNA from 2 species
AACUUUCAACAACGGAUCUCUUGGUUCUGGCAUCGAUGAAGAACGCAGCGAAAUGCGAUAAGUAAUGUGAAUUGCAGAAUUCAGUGAAUCAUCGAAUCUUUGAACGCACAUU